GCCAUUAGCUCAACUGGCAGAGCAGCUGACUCUUAAUCAGCGGGUUCGGGGUUCGAGUCCCUGAUGGC
rnacentral:tRNA from 1 species